rnacentral:rRNA from 1 species
GACGAACGCUGGCGGCGUGCUUAACACAUGCAAGUCGAACGGAAAGGCCCUGCUUUUGUGGGGUGCUCGAGUGGCGAACGGGUGAGUAACACGUGAGUAACCUGCCCUUGACUUUGGGAUAACUUCAGGAAACUGGGGCUAAUACCGGAUAGGAGCUCCUGCUGCAUGGUGGGGGUUGGAAAGCUUCGGCGGUUGGGGAUGGACUCGCGGCUUAUCAGCUUGUUGGUGGGGUAGUGGCUUACCAAGGCUUUGACGGGUAGCCGGCCUGAGAGGGUGAACGGCCACAUUGGGACUGAGAGACGGACCAGACUCCUACGGGAGGCAGCAGUGGGGAAUAUUGCACAGUGGGCGGAAGCCUGAUGCAGCAACGCCGCGUGCGGGAUGACGGCCUUCGGGUUAUAAACCGCUUUCGCCUGUGACGAAGCGUGAGUGACGGUAAUGGGUAAAGAAGCACCGGCUAACUACGUG